rnacentral:lncRNA from 1 species
CGGGAAACGCCCCCACAUCUCAGUAAUGUCGCCGUGUAGCCUUCGCUUUGUGUUUUUAUUGCUUGUCCCUUGUGAGAGCUACGGGCUGCUCAGGGCUCCGUCUGCUCUCGCAGAGCUCUCGCCAAAGCCCCUCAGCGGCGCCGCGCCGUCGGCUGCUUCCACCUCUUCGUCCUCCUCCGACCAGCUCAGGCUGUCGUCCGAGUCGUCCUCGGGCUCCUCUGUGCUGACCGCCGCCUUCUCCGGCUCGCCCUGAGCGCAGGCCUUGCUCUGGGGGUGCUCCAGCCUGGCCCAGGCCCCGGGGUUGGCCUUACGGAGCGUGAUCUCCACCUUGGUGGGAACCAUGCUCACAAAGCUCUUCUCUGCUUCGAUGACCCCCCAGAGAUCGAGUUCUGCCUGGAAAAUCUUAUUCCCUUCGAAGAUGACGUGAACUUCAAGCACAGUGCGGUUGGCCUUCACACUGCUGAGGGUGGGCAGAGGGUUCUUGCCAUAGAUUGUCACCACCACUUGGCUGCUGGUUUGGUGCCAGUCCUGCCUGCAUGACACCGCCUUCUUGUCCGCCUUUCCCAUCCAGCAGUGCCGCCCCGUGCUGCAGCCCGGCUGCUCCAGGAAGGCACUGAAGUC